UCAAAGCCCCUCUCCUGCCAUUCCCCAUCAUUGAGGUUCCAUUUCAGUGAGUAGCUCUGGAUAUUCGGGGUCCUUUCUUGAAAAAGACACCCAGAGGAAAGCAGUACAUACUGACUUUCAUGGAUUUUGCCACCCAAUGGACGGAAGCAGUAGCUCUAAGCAACACUAGGACUAAAAGUGCGUGCCAGGCAUUAACAGACUUUUUUGCCAGGACAGGUUGGCCCUCCGACAUCCUUACGGAUUUGGGAACUAAUUUCCUGACAGGGACCAUGCAAAGCCUUUGGGAAGCUCAGGGGGUGAACCACUUGGUUGCCACCCCUUACCACAGUCAAACAAAUGGCCUGAUGGAGAAGCGUCUUGUAGGGAAGGAG